rnacentral:lncRNA from 1 species
CCUAAUAAAAAUACUUGAGUAUCAUUUAAGUAAUUUUACCUAAAAAUAUAUAUUUACUCCUGUAAUGGCCCAAUUAUUACUCGGCCCAAUAAACUCUAAAAAAAAACCAAAUUCAAUAAACGGGCAAAGUCCAUUUACAUAGUCCAGUCCAGAUUACAAACCAAUUGGCCCAAAAAGGCCUAAACCCCGGCCCGAUUACAGAAGCCCAAAACCCAACACAGAAACAAAAGCCGAAAACCCUAAUGGCUGAUGCGCCGCUGCCGAGCCACUCCCCACGCAUGUAGCACCACUACGCGCCUCCAGCUGGCCACUGUACACGCCACGUCCCCGACUCUGUACGCCGUACCUGCAAAUAGAGCAAACAACGUAGCAGAAAGGAGAAAAAUUGUAUUUUCAUUUUUUCAUUUUUGUUUAUUUUUUCAGCCUAUAAAACAAAAGGCGAAACCUUUGUAAUCGGUUACACACACAUUGAAUACAAAAAAAAAUUCAGAGAAAUCGAAAAAAGAAAAACUCGAAAGGUGAUUGCAAAUUUUUUUCUUUGGAUUUUUUAUAUAUUCCAUAUUCGGUUCAAAAAUAAACGAAAAUAGGAGUUAGAGGGUCAAAUCUUACCUGGUUGUCGACUUUCCUUCUACUCCGUCGCAAUCGGAGUCAGUUGGAAGAUGAAUGGCCUUCGGUUAGCCUGGGCAUGGAGCGGCGCAGAGAACCUUUAGGGUUCUUCAGUUUCUUUUUUUUUAGAAGAAUGAUAGGAUGCUGGUUUGUUUAGGUUUAUUUUAGUUUACAUAUGUGAAAGAAACAACGCCGUUUUAAGCAUG